UACGGAGGGGGCUAGCGUUGUUCGGAAUUACUGGGCGUAAAGCGCACGUAGGCGGCUUUGUAAGUUAGAGGUGAAAGCCCGGGGCUCAACUCCGGAAUUGCCUUUAAGACUGCAUCGCUAGAAUUGUGGAGAGGUAAGUGGAAUUCCGAGUGUAGAGGUGAAAUUCGUAGAUAUUCGGGAAAGAACACCAGUGGCGAAGGCGACUUACUGGACACAU
rnacentral:rRNA from 1 species